rnacentral:tRNA from 1 species
AUCUAGUUAGUUUAGCUAAAAUAUUAAAUUGUGGAUUUAAAGAAGGAUGUCAUUAGAUA